UCUUCAUUGGCAUCAAUAACAGUUUCAAAAACCAAUUUGUGCCUAUAAACAACAAAAUUUAUAUCUUAUAAAACAUUUCCACUUUGUGAGAGGUUGUUCAAUCCUAAAGCUGGGUCCUCAACACUACCCAUAAUUAGCCUUAAAAUAGGCUGUUCUUGACUAGGGGAUCCAGGCAAUACACCCUCCUAGUCCUCCAUUCCAAGCUGCCUACAUUUUUUAGUACUUAUAUCUACAUUGAAAUAGCUUGAAACUACCACUACCACGCCAAUGGUGGUUUUGGUGAAGCAACCACCACCACUACCAUUACUAUCGCCUUGUGAAGAAAACACUGUUGAGGAGGAUGUUGGAGGGCUUGGGCUUCUUCUAGUGUAAAGCAUAGAUGUGGACUCACUACCUACAUAGCAAAAUUUUCUUUAGUGCUGUUGUUUUGCCACCUUGUUGCUGUUGAUUAUGUGGUGGUAGUUGAGAGAAAGAAUAUGGAGAAGAAGAAGAAGAAGAUAAUCCAACACCCCAUUUCCCUUGAAAGACAUGGCUUUCAUCUAAGAAAACUCAAAACACUCUAGUUUCUAAAAUCAAAAAUCGCCCACCACCCCAG
rnacentral:misc_RNA from 1 species